CAAUGUUUGUUCUUAUGAUAAUUGUGUGAUUUGGAUCUUUGAUUGAGUGGGAUGAGUUGUGGAGUAGUGUCCACAAUUGCAUCUGCAUAUACUUAGGCAUAUAUAUAACUAAUCAAACUUAGAUUGUCCCUCAUUAAAAAUGUAUCUAGCCUAAUAGAUCCAUCUUAUCUUGAAAGACUCUAUCUUAUCUUAAUGGAUUCAUCUUAUCUUGAAGGAAUCAUCUUAUCCUAACCACUGUACUUAUCUCAUCCUAGUAUAACAACCAUGAUCUAAUCCAAAAUAAUCAGAUCUUAACUAGUUUAAUCUAGUCACACCAACCUAAUCUAGAUUCUAUCUAAUCUAUUAUGAUCUAAUCUAGAGAGAGUUAGUUAAUACUGGUACAAAAGAUAAGGCCAUACCCCUAAGCCUAAAUUGGUGACUUAGAUCAACUCGGCCAUACACAACAACUUGACCUACAUAAUAGGUUACAUAACCUAUCCCACCCAUCUGGAAUCAAACAACCAAACCAGAUUCAGACUAAUCUGAUUUAAUCUCAUAGCCAUCUACUAAACUAGCUGCUCUACCUACGUGUUAACCUCUUCUCCCAAACCCGGAAGGAGACACCAAGGCUCAAGAAGGAAAAGAUCAACCUCGUCAAGGCUAAACUAUAAGUAAAGCUUUUCACAUCCCUGUCCUUACAAAUCUCGAGGACGAGAUUAUUUUUAAGGGGGUAGGAUUUGUAAAGCCCUAAAAUUCGUAUAAGGCAAAAAUAAUAAAAUAAUAAAAAAUACAUGUAUUUUUCAUGAAAGUGUUUUUGGAAUUAUUUAAAUUCAUUGUUGUGCAUACUCACUUAAGAGAAGUAAAGUAGACAAAUAGCAAAUAAAUAAAUAUAGAAAUAUGCAUCUCAUGCCGAGGUUCUUGUAAUUGUGCAUUUGUGUUUAAAUUCGCAAGACAAGUUUAAGUUAAAAAAUAUAGAAUUUGAAAAGGGAGGAGGAAAACAAUAUACACUAUGAAGAAAUAUAUAUAUAUAUAUAUAUAGGAAUGAAUAUAUUCUUUUAGGCUAAUACAUGUUGGCCGAAGUCCUAAUCGCAGCCAGCCCACGGGCACGUUCGUUUUUUUCUUCUUUAUUGUGUUGGCGGCAUUCUGCUUCAUCCUGACAUAUGGUAUGACAUCAGCCAUGCAUGUGGGCCCCAGCCGGCAGAUUCAUCCCCUUUCCCUGGAUCAGCUCGUACGGUACCCGUACUGAAUGCCCGUUAAUCCGGAUCUGAGCGAAACAAACUCAGCUAUGUGGCCGAGAUCGUGCCCCGCCGUUUGGGUCCUAGGGAUUCCUCAGGGCUAUAAAGAAACGCAUCAGGCAGCCUCUUCCAUCGCACCGCCAUGGACCUUCCAUCUUCUCCUCCACGGUACUUUCUCCACCCAGUACGACAGUACCCCAGGUCGACCUCCAUGGCGCGUGGCAACUCAAGCGCUGGCUCUCUCCCUCCCUUCAACACUCCAGGGCCACCGGCCCCUGCGCCUCCCUCUACUCCACACGGCCAGCAUGGCAGCCGGACGCUGAGAUCCAUGGCGAGCUCCUCGCGCCGUCUACUUUCCUCAUCGGCCGUGACUUCUCGACGCUCGUCCUCAAGCUCGGCCGUGUCGGUCGUCCCUGACCCCACCUUGGUGCAGCGCUACCAGCCGCCAUGACGUCGUCAUCUUCGUCGCCGAGCCAGACGCCGCCACUGUCCAUACCUGUCGCCAUGGUGGAUCGAAGGGUCCCGUCUUGCCCCUCUGCUCGGCUUCCUGCUCCCACGUCCGUUUCACCCGUCGGCAGAGGGCUUCGGCACUCCAAUCCUUGGUAUGGAUCUUCCCCAUCUAGUUCACUUGCUCACUGCGGCGUGUAGAAUAUUUUUGUUUGGUAUCUGGGUUGCCGGUCAGAGUUACCCGAUGAACUUGCCGCCAUGGGUGCUCUGCUCCGCCAUGUCUGCUGGAGGGGAGAACACGAGUGCCGUUGAUUAGAUAGGAAAUGGUCGUGAUCAAAUCAAGGUUUACAUGACCGUCAUGGCCGUAGAUCGGUAAACGGACGGUCGAGAUUAACUAGUGGCGCGUAUCGAUUCGGUGUAGUGGGGAGCCAUCCGAUCUUGAUCGGAGAGGUGCGCUCAGGUAUUGUUUAUUUAAAUCUGGUCCGUAGAUCUCGGGAUCAAAAGCUGUUGUGCGUACCCGUUCACAUGAAACUCUAUCUAAUCUGGACCGCUCAGAUCAGAUCUUGCGGCCAGGGAUCACAGAUACCCCUUUGCCCGAACCAUUUGUCACAUGAGCCCCUCGAUUUCUAUAAAAAUAACCCGCAGUACGACUGAGUCUGGUAGAUUUUACAGAAUAAACCUUAUGCUUCUUGGUAUUGGUGCACGUAGUCCAGGAAAUAAUGAAAAUAGAAAAAAGGAAUUUAGAAAUUGAUUUUGGGUAUAAAAAUAAUUACAGAAACUCAUUUAAUUCAUAGAAAAUUCAUAUUAAAUCCUUUUUGAUCCAUUCCUGUGGCAUUAAUUUUAUUUUAAUGUUGUUUAUCACCUAGCAACUUUGUUUAGCCAUGAAACUUGAAUUAAAAUUAUUCACUAGAUUUAUUCUAUAUUAAACACUUCAAACUUGUAAAUCCCUAACUCCUUAGUUUUAACUCUGAUUUGAUCCGUUCAAGUUGCGUUAGUCUCGUAUAAAUAUUUAAUAUGCAAUAACCAUAUUUAUUAUACCUUGUCUCAUUAUUUUAUAAUUAGAUCUGUAGUUAACUGAUGUUAGUUAGUCUGGUUAAACUGCUUAUCACUAUUGACUACGAGAAUAUGAUCUAUGGUCAAUUUAUAACUUGAAUUAAAGUUUAGAUAGUUAUUUAUAGAAUAACCUCUCUUAUGAAUUAUAUUAACCAAUUUAUAAUACAGUUUAAUAUUUUAAUCAUACAGAUCUUUUAUAAAAUCAUAACUCCUUAAUCGUAACUUUGAUUUUAGUGGUUCUUGAUCCCUCGAUCUCGUAGCGACGCGUAGAUUAUUAUUAUUCAGUUUGUACUUAUGUUUGGUGUGAUGUUAAUUUUGUCUAUACCAUGUCUGUUUGUACUGCUACGACUAGCAGUGAGGUUUCGAGUCACCUGAAGUUCAUCCUGUCACCUGGAAUCUCAAGUGUCAGGCAAGUUGUGCCCUUGAUCACUUCUUUUACCCAUUCAUGUUCUUAUUAUUCAUAAUGAUCUGCAUAGGAUAAUUUUGCUGGGACCCAAUAGGUUACCCUAGAUUUUGACUAUCUUUAUACCUUGUUGAAACACUGGUUUUACUACUAAAGUUUUGGGUAGUACAUGCUAUUGCUUUAUAUGGUUUUGGGUAUAGAGGUAUUCACUACUCAUGAUUACACUUGUUAUUAUUUGUUCAUUAUUCUAUGUUCAUGAUAAGAUCAUUAUGUUAAUGGGAACAUGGAGAACCACCCGGGAAAACAGUGCUACCACAAGGGUAUAAUGGGACGCCCUUGGCUGAUUAACUAGGAAAGCUAGUGGAGGGCUACCUUACCCGAAAGGGGCAAGGGCAGUAGGGGAGUGGUCAGUGUAGGGAGGUCCUUGGUUGAUUUUGCUGUGAUGGCGGUCAGGCAAGAACCCUGCACUGGAGCUUCCUAUAAACUGUAGCGGGUAGUCUGAAGCUAGUGGAACUUUGUAAAGGCCUCGUAGUGGUACCCUGCCUCGCUUCCUUGGUAGAGGUGUAUGGAGUCUGAUCAACUCCGUGGCAAAUGGGUAACACGACUUGUGGGUAAAGAUGUGCAACCUCUGCAGAGCGUAAAACUGGUAUACUAGCCGUGCUCACGGUCAUGAGCGGCUCGGACACUCACAUGAUUAAUCUAUGGAACUUAAACUUAAUCUGUCAUUUCAUUGCAUUUGGGAUUAUUUUAUUAUUACUUUUAUUUAUUAUUUCUAAGGUUUGGUAUUUACUUACACUUAGUAACUGCUAAUAAAAUUUUGACCAACUUAUAAAAGCAAUGCUCAGCUUCAGCCUUUAUUUCAUUGAUCAGCCUUACACUUCAUGAACUCCCACCUUUGGCGAGUUCAUGCACAUUAUUCCCCACAACUUGUUGAGCGAUGAACGUAUGUGAGCUCACUCUUGCUGUCUCACACCCCCCACAGGUCAAGAACAGGUACCACAGGAUGAGGCGCAUGGAGGAUGCUGCGAUGUGUUCGUGAGAGGUCUAGGCUGUCGUCUCCCAGUCAACUUUGGGUUGCUGGACCGCUGUCUCCUUAUAAUGUAAUUAUUUAUUUUGUAUAGAACUUCUAUUAUGUAGUAAAGAUGUGACAUUCGAUCCUGUGCCAUGAUUCAUCAUAUGUGUGAGACUUGGUCCUAGCACACCUGGUGAUUAUGUUCGCGCCCGGGUCUUGGUGCCCCUGAAAUCCGGGUGUGACAGAAGUGGUAUCAGAGGAAUGUUGACUGUAGGACGAAACCUAGAUAGAACUAGACAACCCUUACCUACUUACCUUACUCUGAUUCUUUCCUAAGCUUAUCUUGAUCAUUUCUCAUCUAUUUCCGCUUUACUCUGAUUAUUCUUACUUUUUCUUUCUAAAGACAAAUGUGGAUUUCACACUUUGAAAUCCCAUGGCUAAAGUGACCAUUAUGUAUAGGAGACCUAAUCUUAAAGAACAAAAAAAACCAAAACUAUUUUUAUACAUAUCUAUUUGCUGCAAUGUUUGUUCUUAUGAUAAUUGUGUGAUUUGGAUCUUUGAUUGAGUGGGAUGAGUUGUGGAGUAGUGUCCACAAUUGCAUCUGCAUAUACUUAGGCAUAUAUAUAACUAAUCAAACUUAGAUUGUCCCUCAUUAAAAAUGUAUCUAGCCUAAUAGAUCCAUCUUAUCUUGAAAGACUCUAUCUUAUCUUAAUGGAUUCAUCUUAUCUUGAAGGAAUCAUCUUAUCCUAACCACUGUACUUAUCUCAUCCUAGUAUAACAACCAUGAUCUAAUCCAAAAUAAUCAGAUCUUAACUAGUUUAAUCUAGUCACACCAACCUAAUCUAGAUUCUAUCUAAUCUAUUAUGAUCUAAUCUAGAGAGAGUUAGUUAAUACUGGUACAAAAGAUAAGGCCAUACCCCUAAGCCUAAAUUGGUGACUUAGAUCAACUCGGCCAUACACAACAACUUGACCUACAUAAUAGGUUACAUAACCUAUCCCACCCAUAUGGAAUCAAACAACCAAACCAGAUUCAGACUAAUCUCAUUUAAUCUCAUAGCCAUCUACUAAACUAGCUGCUCUACCUACGUGUUAACCUCUUCUCCCAAACCCGGAAGGAGACACCAAGGCUCAAGAAGGAAAAGAUCAACCUCGUCAAGGAAGGAGAGGAAGUCAAACUCGAUCUUCCGAUGCGUUACCACUCAACACGGAAUUCUUUCCCAUCAUAAACUUGCUUACCCUAGGUUAUCCUUGCCCUAACCUACCUUUUAUCCUAUACAAUCAGGUGACUAUACAUAUAUAUACCCAUGCUUUCAUAACCACUUUUAACAUGAAACUUAUUAUUCUUAAACUAAUUAGAAGUUAAAGGCUAAACUAUAAGUAAAGCUUUUCACAUCCCUGUCCUUACAAAUCUCGAGGACGAGAUUAUUUUUAAGGGGGUAGGAUUUGUAAAGCCCUAAAAUUCGUAUAAGGCAAAAAUAAUAAAAUAAUAAAAAAUACAUGUAUUUUUCAUGAAAGUGUUUUUGGAAUUAUUUAAAUUCAUUGUUGUGCAUACUCACUUAAGAGAAGUA
rnacentral:lncRNA from 1 species